rnacentral:rRNA from 1 species
UACGAAUGGAGCGAGCGUUGUUCGGAAUCACUGGGCGUAAAGCGUGCGCAGGCGGUUAUGAAAGUCAGAAGUGAAAUCCCAGGGCUUAACCCUGGAAUUGCUUUUGAAACUCCAUGACUAGAGUACUGGAGGGGUUGGCGGAAUUUCGAGUGUAGCAGUGAAAUGCGUAGAUAUUCGAAGGAACACCGAUGGCGUAGGCAGCCAACUGGACAGUAACUGACGCUCAUGCACGAAAGCGUGGGGAUCAAACAGG